UGAGUACGAGCUGCUACGGCAGCGAAGUGGGUGAUGUCAAGCUUCCAAGAAAAGCCCUAUACCCGUUAAGGCAUGACGGCCUGUACCCGAAACCGACACAGGUGGGGUGGUAGAGAAUACCGAGGGGCGCGAGAUAACUCUCUCUAAGGAACUCGGCAAAAUGGCCCCGUAACUUCGGGAGAAGGGGUGCCACCGCAAGGUGGUCGCAGUGAAGAGGCCCAGGCGACUGUUUACCAAAAACACAGGUCUCCGCUAAGUCGCAAGACGAUGUAUGGGGGCUGACGCCUGCCCAGUGCCGGAAGGUUAAGGAAGCUGGUCAGCGCAAGCGAAGCUAGCGACUGAAGCCCCGGUGAACGGCGGCCGUAACUAUAACGGUCCUAAGGUAGCGAAAUUCCUUGUCGAGUAAGUUCCGACCCGCACGAAAGGCGUAACGAUCUGGGCGCUGUCUCGGAGAGAGGCUCGGCGAAAUAGAAUUGUCUGUGAAGAUGCGGACUACGUGCACCCGGACAGAAAGACCCUAUGAAGCUUUACUGUAGCUUGGUAUUGUGCCCGGGCUCUGAAUGCGCAGGAUAGGUGGGAGGCUUUGGUCCAUUGCUUGUGGGUAAUGGUGAGCCAACGGUGAGAUACCACUCUUUCAGAGCUAGGGUUCUAACCCUCACCCGUUAUCCGGGGAGGGGACAGUAUCAGGUGGGCAGUUUGACUGGGGCGGUCGCCUCCUAAAAGGUAACGGAGGCGCGCAAAGGUUUGCUCAGGCUGGUUGGAAAUCAGCCGACGAGUGUAAAAGCAGAAGCAAGCUUGACUGUGAGACCAACAAGUCGAACAGGGACGAAAGUCGGCUUUAGUGAUCCGACGGUUCUGAGUGGAAGGGCCGUCGCUCAACGGAUAAAAGUUACUCUAGGAUAACAGGCUGAUCUCCCCCAAGAGUUCACAUCGACGGGGAGGUUUGGCACCUCGAUGUCGGCUCAUCGCAACCUGGGGCUGAAGUCGGUCCCAAGGGUUGGGCUGUUCGCCCAUUAAAGCGGUACGCGAGCUGGGUUCAGAACGUCGUGAGACAGUUCGGUCCAUAUCCGGUGCAUGCGUAAGAACAUUGACAGGAGUUCUCCCUAUUACGAGAGGACCGGGAGGAACGCACCUCUGGUGUACCAGUUAUCGUGCCAACGGUAAACGCUGGGUAGCCAUGUGCGGAGAGGAUAACCGCUGAAAGCAUCUAAGUGGGAAGCCCACCUGAAGAUGAGUGUUCUCAUGGCUUAAGCCAGUAAGGUCACGGGAAGAACACCCGUUGAUAGGCUCUACGUGGAAGCGCAGCAAUGCGUGAAGCGGAGGAGUACUAAUAGACCGAGGGCUUG
rnacentral:rRNA from 1 species